rnacentral:rRNA from 1 species
UACGGGGGGGGCAAGCGUUGUUCGGAAUUACUGGGCGUAAAGGGCGCGUAGGCGGCCUGCUAAGUCGGGUGUGAAAACUCUGGGCUCAACCCAGAGCCUGCAUUCGAUACUGACGGGCUAGAGUUCUGGAGGGGAAAGCGGAAUUCCUGGUGUAGCGGUGAAAUGCGUAGAUAUCGGGAAGAACACCCGUGGCGAAGGCGGCUCUCUGGGACGGUACUGACGCUGAGACGCGAAAGCGUGGGGAGCGAACAGG